GUUCCCGUAGCUCAGCAGGAUAGAGCGACCGCCUCCUAAGCGGUAGGUCGACGGUUCGAAUCCGCCCGGGAACGCCA
rnacentral:tRNA from 1 species